GCGUGAGAUGCCCUUGUCUGGGUGUUUAACCUUUGCUAUGAAUGUUGUUUGCCUACUUUGUUUUAGCGCAGAGGCUAAGAGACGUCCGCAUUUGCCUCCGGAGUAGAAGUAGGAGUGUUUGAUGCGUAGUAGUGUGCGUUGGACCUGUGUAUUUAAUAUUUGUUGCAGCGCCUUAUAUGUCUGGAAGGAGUCUUUACUGUGGUGGACUGCCUCCAGAGCCCGUAUAUCCUCUG